rnacentral:lncRNA from 1 species
UUUUUUCUCACAAUUUCUCUAAUCUUUACUCAUGUUAUGUCCCUGAAUGUCUUGGUAUAGGUUUAAGUGUGGGACAGUCUGAAAAUUGAUAGCAUUUAGCAUUUCUUUUUUCUCAAAAAGAAACUGUAGGAAAUACAUGACAGAGAAAGUUACACUCAGGGAGCAGCAGCACCUCCAGACUGGAAAAAUGUGUUAAUCUUUGCAUCAUAUUGGACUCUUGAAGGCAAUCCUUCCUCUGGCCAGGAAAUUUUUUAAAAAAUAAUACUGUGUUGUGUUUAUCUAAAUACGUAAACUCAAGCUACCAAAGAGAAAGAUGUUGUAAUCACAUCUGCAUGUCCUAAAUUUUGAAUUUAGAUAUUCCAAUUUGCAUCAGUCUUUCUGUGGCUCAAAUAAUGAUGAUUAUGGAAUGAAUUUUAAUGUCCCUACUUGUGAAUAAUUAGCUUUCUCAAAUGUAGGCUUUUUACAAAUUUUAAAUUUUAAAAUAUUAGUUUAAAUGUGUGUUAUACUGAUAAAAUUUCAUCUUUCAAAUUAUAGUCUAUUAUUUUAAAGGGAUUUUUCAGUAUGAUAUGGGCCAUUUUGUUCAUCUAUCGCAAAGUAAAAAUGUAAAGUCGUUACAGAGAAUUGUUUCACAAAACUUAUAUUUCAUGUCAAUUGUAUUUAUUUUAAUAAUAGCUCACAAUGCCUUUAGUAAGUAAUAAAGUCUCUUAUUAGAAUCUUGUAUUUUUUAAUUGAGCUAAUCAAAAUAAUUCAGCCAAG